rnacentral:rRNA from 1 species
UACGUAGGUGGCGAGCGUUAUCCGGAUUUACUGGGUGUAAAGGGCGUGUAGGCGAGUUUGCAAGUCGGGUGUGAAAGAUUCGGGCUUAACCCGGAGAGGUCAUCCGAAACUGCAGAUCUUGAGUGCUGGAGAGGAUAGUGGAAUUCCUGGUGUAGCGGUAAAAUGCGUAGAGAUCAGGAGGAACACCAGUGGCGAAGGCGGCUAUCUGGACAGUAACUGACGCUGAGGCGCGAAAGCGCGGGGAGCAAACAGGAUUAGAUACCCCUGUA